CAGAGAAAUUCGCCCUCACGGGUUCUUAAUCCUCAAACCUGUGGAAGCGAGACGUGCUUCGGCGCCUCUGGGCGUCGAAUCUAUGCUGUUUAGCUUGCGUCUGAAGAAAAACAAAAUUUUA
rnacentral:misc_RNA from 1 species